ACUCAAAUGAAUUGACGGGGAGGCGCACAAGCAGUGGAGCGUGUGGUUUAAUUCGAUUCAAAGCGAAGAACCUCACCAGGACUUGACAUGUAGCUGCAAGCUCUGGAAACAGAGUCGCCUUCGAGGGUGCUACACAGAUGCUGCAUGGCUGUCGUCAGCUCGUGGCGUGAGCUGUUCCCUUAAGUGGGUCAACGAGCGCAACCCGCAUUGUAUGUUAAAUAAUUCAUACAAAACUGCCCCUUUUUGGGGAGGAAGGCGCGGAUGACGUCAAGUCAGCACGGCUCUUACGUCCUGGGCAACACACACCCUACAAUGGCGAAAAACAACGAGUUGCCACUGGGUAACCAGAAGCUAAUCUCUGAAAUUUCGCCUCAGUUCAGAUUGAGGUCUGCAACCCGACCUCAUGAAGGAGGAAUUGCUAGUAAUCGCGAAUCAGCAGGUCGCGGUGAAUACGUUCUCGCCUCUUGUACACACCGCCCGU
rnacentral:rRNA from 1 species